rnacentral:lncRNA from 1 species
AUGACGGCCUCGCGCUGCUCCAGCAGCAUGGCCAGGCACACGAAGAGCAGGAACGGGUUCCCCUGGCCCAGCUCUUCUGGCGGUGGCAGCGGCGCCCCGUCGUCCUCCACCGUCACCUCCUCGUCCGAGGAUGACGAGCCUGAGGAGCACGAGGAGGAGGAGGAAGAGGAAGGCUCUUCCCAAGCCCAACGGCCGCCCCAAGGGUCUUCGGGGGUGGUUGGGUUGUUGCAGGUCAUCUUGGUAGCAUGGUGGUCAUCCUUGAGGUUGUCAUGCCCUUCCUUGGGGCCGUCGUGGCCGUGUUUGAGGUCAUCGUGUCUGUCCUUGGGGUCGUGGUGGUUGUCCUUGAGGUCCUCACGGCCAUGUCUGGGGUCAUCACAUCCCUCCUUGGGGUCACCGCGGCCAUCCUUGAGGCCGUGGUGGCCAUCCCUGGGGUCAUGGCGGGCAUCCUGGGGGCUGUUGUGGCCUUCUCCGAAGUUGUGUCCUUCUCUGAGANNNNNNNNNNGUGCCCCAGUCCCUCCCAGUCCCUCCCAGUCCCCCCCAGUCCCUCCUAGUUCCCUCCCAGUCCCCCCCAGUUCCCUCCCAGUCCCCUCCCAGUACCCCCCAGUUCCCUCCCAGUCCCCUCCCAGUCCCCUCCAGUCCCCUCCCAGUCCCUUCCAGUCCCCCCCAGUUCCCUCCCAGUCCCUCCCAAUGCUCCCAGUACCUUCUCCUCCAGCAGCCAGCGCUCCUGCUGACUCUGGGCCAGCCUCUGGAACAGCUCGGCCACCUCUGCCGGGGACAGGCCCCCCCCCGGCCGGGACCCCCCCGGCGCUGCCGCCCCCAGGGCUGCCCGAGCCCGACUGUGCCGGGGGUGGGGCCGGGGGCGGGGCCAGAGCCCGUCAGACCACGCCCACCAAAGCUCCACCCCACCAGGGGUUGAUUCAUAAAGGGGAGGGGGCAAAUGGCCACGCCCACAUGGGGCUGUGCCCCACCCAAGCCACACCCCCAUUGGGUCACAAUAAAGCCACGCCCCAAAUAAAGCCACGCCCAAAUUAG